rnacentral:lncRNA from 1 species
AUAGACCAGCCGGUGCUGAUGGGGUCCGGGACUUGACGAUGGCGCCUGCUCGUUCCUGUUGUGUUCUAUCUGAGGCAUGAUUUUCUUUCGUUUUUGGGAGGUAGAGAGCACGGGGCAGAGGUUGCACCUGACACAUUAGAACUCCGUUGUCACUGCUGUGGCUGUUAUUCCCCUCGGCAAGAGCCAAGGAGCAAACAGGACGUGAAGAUCCCGGUGUUACACAUCCAAUCGUUCACCUCCUUCCAAGACUAUGACAUUCCAGGAAACCUUCACUGCUAAGAGGAACUAAGAUCUAGAGUAUCUCCUCGAGGAAGUACAACUGCAUUAUAAAUUAAGGAGGAAAAGUAACAAAGAGCUUGAAGACAUGCACAGCUCACAGGCCCCGGGUGGAGGCUGGCGACAUCAGACAGACAGAACCAAGACAUCUGAGGGGCAACCAGGAGGUGCGUGUGGCUGCAGAGCACACAG